GUACACCUGCCAGGUGACACAGAUGACCUUUGAUUAAAAACAGUUAGCCUCCUCUUCAACUGUAGGUGGACAACACGAUGGAAAAAUCACCUUUUGAGUGACUUAUGAAACUCUUUACACCAUUUCCUCAACAUGAAGGACGGCAUAACUUCUUCAAAUUUAAAUAAAACAACGCAAAGAUGGCGCUAUGACGCAGUAACGGUAGCUAGUUAGCUUGGUGUUUAAGACUGUUUAAGCUAGCAGCGGCGGACUGAAAGGAUGUAAGCAAACAAACACGUAGGGAGGCUUUAACGGAUUCUACAGCUACACAUAAACAUGGACCUGGACAUCAAAUACAACUGCUGAGUACAGCGUUGUGAGAUUGCAGAUCUGCAGGAGAAUCCUGCUGAUGAGAGUGAUGUGUCGGCAGAAGAAUGGUGUUCUGGGUGGGAUGUGAGUACGGGAGACCGGGACCCGCCUAACCUGGAGGUGUUGGACACAACCAUGCAACCAUGCACACUGAAGAACAGUCACAGCAGUCCAGGCUGUUCAUGAGGGACAAGCAUCUGUUUAACUGUUACACCCUUUAACUUGUUUUUCACUGUUUGUUUUUAUCUGUUUUGUUCAGUGUCCUUGGGUGAAAGCACCUAUAUAAUAAAAUGUAUUAUUAUUAUUAUUA